rnacentral:lncRNA from 1 species
GUCAGGGUGGGGAGGGCAGAGGAGGGCUGGGUCCAGCUCCAGGAUGAGCCCCUUGCCCAAGCAGGGGAGAGGGGCAUAUGCAGGCAGGAGUGAAGUCGAAUGGCAUUUGAGCCCUUUAUGUUCUCCCUGAAUCAAGGACCCAGGAGCAAAAGCCCUCUCCCUACUCCAGGCUCUUGCUCCACCCACCUCAGACCACUAACAUGAACUUUUCCAUGGUGGACUUGGACUUGGGAUGGACAGAAGAAACCUGAUCUUCAUUUGGCAAUCAAGAGAUUUCUCACAGCCUCACUCUGCUCCUCAGAAAUCUCCUUGGGGCCAGACACCCCUGGUCCGCCAGGGCCUACCACUGGGAGGCAGAGCCCUAGAAUUCAGGUUACACCCAUAGCUGUCUUUAUUGUUUGAAGAAAUCUGGCGGAACGGCGCUCUCUCAGCUAAAAAGCCUCAAUCCUGGAGCCAACGGAUUCGGAAAGCAACUUUGCACUCCAAUCAAAUAAAAAUGUUCUUCUCUGCUGAGGAGAAGGGGGCAGGCCCCAGAACUGAGCUCUCGGGCUCGGAAGAGUGUACGCGGGCUUCCAGCCGGUAUGCACAGGCAAGAAGUGAAGUGGGCAGCCCUGGGGCAGAGGAUGCGACUACUGGACUGAGGUUGAAUCCUUUACGUGUCGCCACGCGGUCCCCUGUGGGGAGCGCAUCCAUCCCCAUCUGUUCUUUUCCCCAGCUCCCAGCUCGUGCGAGACGCAAAGAGGGGAGCCCCCAGACUCCUGACUCUAGGGAGCCUUACGCCUCUCCUCUUCCCUCUCCCAGGAUCUCGCAACUGGGAAACUAUAAUCUAGGAGGAAAAUCUAGGCGGGCAAGAAAAGGGGCUAGGUUCUGUAAGAUGUGUCUGUAAGCCUCCUCCUCCCGUGCUACCUUGGGAGCCCCACAACCUCCUCCCAUCCAACCGUACGCACUGCACAUACCCGAACCUACGUUACUUCCCGAUCCAGGCAAACACAUCUCACAUCACAUACAAACAACUCCCUAGAGACGCCCACUUCUCCCGUGUCGUUUUCACACACGCCCUUCUCACACGCAAACAGCCCUCGCUCAAACAUCCCCCACCCACGGGAGCACCUGCUCCAAACGGGCCCACAUGGCCCUGACGAUAGCAUGCGCACGCACGCAGAAAUCCCUUCCAGCCACAUCCCGGGCUUCAUUGUCAAUCAGAUUAGUAACAGAAUGGAAACAGACAAGUCAAUAAAUCAAGUCUAGAAACAGUCCCAGUGUUGUCUAUCACAAACUCCUUAUCCUCUUGAGGCUCAGAUGCUCAAGUGCUAGGCAUUUUUGUCUUAGAAAUAAAGCCAGUUCCGGCUGGGCGCGGUGGCUCAC